AAGAAUAUAGCUUAAGUGGUAGAGCCUGUGUCUUCAACACACAAUGUAGUAGUUCGAUUCUACUUAUUCUUG